rnacentral:lncRNA from 1 species
CCCAUUGUCCCCAAUUCAACCUCUCUGUAUUUGCAAACUUUUUAAAAAACUCCACCAUCACCACUUGGAGAACCAAUAUUAAUCCGAUGAUUGCCAUGAACAACUUGUUCUUUUGUAUUCCCUCAAAGACAUUCUUCUUCUCCAGGUUUCGCGCGUUGAAUUCAUUGAACACUUGGCAAAGAACAAACGUGUUAAAAAACAAAGUAUCGUUUACACUCUCAUUGACACCAAAGAUUGAUUCUCCUUUGUAUAGUAAGGUCGAUAAAACAGCAAUUUGGUAUGUAGCCUGAGCCAUUAUAUUCCUCCACAUAAUAUUCGUGAUAAGUGGUGUAGUCCUACCAACUGGUUUCUUCUUCAUGACUUCCUCGGUUGGCUUCUCAGUCGCAAGUGCUAAUGCCCCUAAUGUGUCCAUGAUCAAAUUUACCCAUAGCAACUGUACUGAUGUUAGUGGUUCCUCACCAUACAAAACAGAAGCUACAAAAUUGAUCAUGAGGGCAGCCACAUUAGCUGUGAGCUGAAAUUGGAUGAAUUUCUGGACGUUGUUAUAGACACAUCUUCCCCAUAUCAGAACUGUGGCAACUGAAGCAAAGUUAUCAUCCAAGAUGACAAUAUCAGAACUUUCUUUAGCUACUUCAGUGCCCUGAAUCCCCAUAGAAAGUCCUAUAUCUGCUUCCUUUAAAGCUGGUGCAUCGUUCGUUCCAUCUCCUGUGACAGUGACCACAUGACCUUUCUUUCUCAAGCACUGCACCAUUAGAAGCUUGUCAAAAGGGGAAGAUCUUGCCAUAACGCGUAUCUUCUCCACUCUCUCCAUCCUUUCUUCAUCUGUGAGGCUGCGAAAUUCUUCACCUUCUAUGACUGCUCCUUCAUCUACUUCCUGAUUAGGAUGGAGAAUCCCACAUUCUGUUGCUAUGGCUUUUGCAGUGAAAAACAUUGUCUCCAGUGAUCAUCUUGAUGUUCACACCAGCAUUUUGGCAAUCUUCCACAGCUUUCUUCAUGCCAGGUCGACAUGGAUCUUUUAGGCCAACAAAGCCCAAAAGAAUGAAAGAGUUGUCUGGAACAUUUCCAUGCAUAUGUUCAUGAUCCUCCUGCUCAGCUUUUUGGCACUUGCUUGUGUGCGAAUGCAAUACAUCGGAGGCUGCUGGCAGCCAUUCCUUCAAUUAUCCUGUCACAAUCUUCCUUAUCUGAUUGCUCGAGAGGUUUUACGUUCCCUUCUAGAUCAUAGUAAUGGGAGCACAUUCUUGAAAUCAUUUCAGCAGCACCUUUCCAAUGUGCAUGAAAUGUGCCAUCUGUGAUGUUCUUGAUCAGGACACCACUCUUCUUUUUCUCUGAAUUGAAAGCUUCCACAUGUAGAAUGUUGAAAUUUCUUUUGAUUUGAUCCAUAUCCAUGUUCAAUUCCAUAACAGCCCAUGAAAGAAUAGCUUUUUCAGUAGGGCUGCCGGAGAACUCGAAGCUGGAACAUGGAUCAGAGGACUUGAAAACACUGCCUGUAGUGUUUAAUCCAACACCUUGAUGUAAUAAUUCAAGAACUUUUGCUGAAAUUGAUGUAUGACUUUCCGCCUUCAUGUGGUCUUUGCCUAAGAAAAACUUUGUCACGGUCAUCUUAUUUAAUGUUAGAGUACCUGUUUUAUCAGUACAGAUGGUGGUGGCAGAGCCCAUAAUCUCACAAGCGGAGAGCUUCCUCACCAUUGCCUGAUCAGCCAUCAUUCUCUUCAUGGAAUAAGCCAGAGUAAGUGUAAUAGCUAAAGGCAAGCCUUCAGGAAUCGCAGCAACAACAAUGGUAACAGCAGAAGAAAAAAUUCCCACCACAGCAUUGAUCACAUCAUUGGAUGAUGUCUUGCUCCCGUUGAAUUCUCUGAACCCAUUCUCAUCUACUGUGCUCCCAGUAAAGUAUUGUACCAAUUGGACAAUGAGAACCAAGAAGGCAGCUAACAAACCAACUUUAUCAAUCGAUGAAGUGAGCUUGUCGAGCCGUUCUUGGAGAGGGGUGUGCUCGUUAGAGUCACUGCAUAUUUUGUUCAUCAUUUCACCCCUGGUCGUGUUAAUGUCAACUGAUGUCACAAGCAUCAUUCCACAGCCAUCGACAACCUUUGUGCCAGAAAUCAAGAAUGGAUUUUGGCUGAUAUUAAUCUCUACAUGUUCAGUUUCUCCUGUCAUGCUAGAUUCAUCCACUUGUAAAGAAUGACCUUGUACCAAAAUCCCAUCAGCAGGGACUUGAUCUCCAAUCUUCAAGCAAAUGACAUCUCCAACCACAAUUUCAAAUAUUGAUAUCUGUUGACGCCUCCCCUUUCUAACAGCUUCUACUGGAAUAUUUUUGCUCACUUUGGAAAGCUUAUCAAACUGUCUGUUUAGUCUAAACUUACUAAUAGACGAAACAGCGAUGACAAGAAACCCUGCGACAUAAAUACUCCCUCCAUCAUACCAUCCUUCUUUCGGUCCAUGCUCCUUAAUUCCAAAUCCAAGAGACAGAGCACCCCAGAGCAAAAGUUUAAUGUUGGUGGGAUCUUUUAAUGAUUCCCAAACAAAGAUGAAGAAACUCUUAGCAGGUGGCUUACGAUACGUGUUUCUUCCAAACACCUCAUGUCUACGUGCAACAUCUUCUGGAUCUCCGCUUACACCAUUAGUUGUAUCACUUUUGAGAGAAGCAGCAACACCUUGUACACCUCCAAGGUUAGCAAGUUCGUCAAUGUUUUUAUCUUUGACAAGCUUAGAUAGACUUGACUGAUCGAUGCCUGAGAAAAAAGGGUGGUCUUGAACUACAUCAAUUGCGAUUGUAUCAGUUGAUACACCAAGUACUUUUGUUGGAUUGUAGGCAGGUCCAUGUAGUGCUUUAGUGCUGGUCUUAAUUUUAAAAGCUCUGGAACAAAAGAUAGUAGCAAAAGUUAAAUGCCAUCUUUUUUGGCUGGAGAAAUCAACUUCAGAUGACAAAUCAAGUGUUAUGUUCAUGCAGAGGUAAUGUAAGUUUGCUUGAAACAUCAUGUUCAAGUCUUUCUUUGACUAUGGAUGAACAAAUUUGUUUCAUGGAAGUUCCUUUUAUAGUGGUAACAAAAUUUGCCUAGACUGCUAGGAGUACAGCGACAGUUACUGACUUAUGUAUGUUUCCAUUUAAUUCCCCAAGCAUUUCCAGCUCCCUCCUUCCACACAGACUGCUAGGAGUACAGAUAUGAUAUGCUUGGAAGUUGCUCUCAACACGCCCCUUCACGUGGAGCUUUGCCUGUUCUGAUAUCAUGUUAAAGUGUGUGACUAUUUUCUCAUCUAAAACUGUUAGAGAGGGCACACUUUUAUUAGUUAAUUAUAUUUAUAUUCUCAAUAGCAAUAACAGACUAUAAUAUCAUGCUUAUCUUUUUGUUCUUGAUUUGAGCGUGGUCUUUGUUUAAAGCUUAUAAGAAUAUUCAAUUCGUCCCAAAAUAAGUGAAGCUUUAGUUCAUUUCAUGUCCAUUAAGAAAAAUAAUACUCCAAUAUAAGAUAUAGUAUACUAAGUUAUUCAUAUUUUAUUAGAGAUAAGUGUCAAAAACACACAUUUCUUUCAUACCUAAACUAUCACUUAUUAAUUUGAGAAACACACCUCUCGUUUUUAUACCACUAUCGAUCAUCAUGGUGUGUGUAAUACACUCUCUCCCUUAUUUUAAAAAAUCUCAUAUCACACUCCACAUGAACAAAACAUUCAACCUUAAUAUUAUGUGUGUUUUUGACACUUAUCUCUAUUUAUUAAAUGUUUGUUUAGAAUUGAACAAUACUAAGAAGAAAUGGUAAGAGUAUAGUUCAAAUAAUUACUCUCAUUAUUGUCAUAGUUCCAUUGUCUAGAAAAUAUGCAUGGAGUUAGAGGUUUCCAUAUUUGAUACUUCAUUUGUCUCAAUUUAUGUGACACAAUAAAAAUUUCAAGAUUCAAAAAUUUUAAUUUUGACUAUGAAUUCAAAUAUAGAAGUUUUAAGUAUUUUGAAAUGAAAUUUAUAUAUUUGAAAACUAUGUAAAAUGUACUGUAUAUCACAAUAAUUAACAACUCAAAAAUAUCUAAUAGACAUAUGUUAAUAAAAGAAAAUUUUAAUUGACUUUCGAAAUUUCAACAGUACAACAUAAAUUGAAACAAAAGGAAUAAUAACCCAAUAGGCAACAAUAUAAGGAUUUAAAAAAAAAAAAACAUAAUUCUGUGAAUUUUAACUGUAGAAUAAUAAAGCCGAAAUUUUAAUAAUAUAUAUAUAUAUAUAUAUAUAGUUUUAUAAACUAAGGUAAACCGUGUUCAUUAGUGUUUUUUUUUGUUUUUUUGUUUUUAAUUUAUACCACUAGACCAUGUCUAGGGACCUUUUAUUAUUAAUAUAAUUUAAAAAAAAAACUCAACAGACACAUAACUUUGAGCAGUAGUCUUUGUUUAAGCUAAUUAGGGGUCAUUUUUCUUCAAAAUUAGGUUAAUUAUCUUGAAAAUAUAUAACAACUACGCACUUCAACGUCAAAAAAGAAAUAAGGUUUGAAAAAGAUGAGGUGUACGAAAUAUUUUAUCCUUAUCUUAUAUAAGAUACUGUUUUCGAUGACCACGACUACAACACUUAUCCAAAAAGCAAAACGGGAAAGUAUUAAAUCUCCUUAACGAAGUUUACAGUAAUUUAAUAUAAUACGUGUUGAAUGGCGUCAACAAACUCUACAUUAGUUGACUGUAACACUUGUGCAACAAGUUUUGAAGCCACAGUUAAUUACAACAUGCCUAUAUAUAUAUAUAAAAAAAAAAAUUCUAGGAAAAGAAUAUAUGGAUUGAUCUCAAUCCAAAGACAGGUGUAAAUAAUUUUUUUUUAUAUAUAAUUAGUAUAAUUUAACAUGAUCCACGAAAUUGCUUUCUCCUUAUGAAUUGGUUACUUAAUUACCUUUAAAUUGAAAUUGUUUAAUAGUGACAAUACACAAGUUAAAUCGAAAACUUUCAAGCUUUCACUUGCCCCAGUUAAUACUUUUGACUCUUCGGUAUAUAUAUGGUAAAAUUAGUCCAUAAAAAUAAAAUGUGUAAUCCAUUCAAGUUUGAGAUUUAUUUGCUUAAGCCGUCAAAAAUUAGACUGCUAUGUAACAUAAAAUUGAUCAAUGAGAAAUCUUAUUACAAUAUUUUUAAAUUUGAUUAUGGUACACAUAAUCAUAAUAAAGGAAAAUAAUAAUAUUUUUAUACUCUGUUUGGAUUAUUGUUACCCGUUAUUUCAUAAUGUAUUGUAUUGUAUGGUAUAUACCAUAUUUGGCUAGAUUGUGUUGUUUGUUGUUGUUUAAUAACAUUUGUAUUGUUUGAUUUGACUAUAUCGUACUGUAUUGUAAUUUAUAAAUUUACUAAAAUGUCCUUAAUUAUUCUAAAUACUAAAUUUAUCAAUAAUUACUAAUAAAAUAACAAUACUAUUAUGCAUAUUUUUUAUGUCAUAUGAAAAUAACAUAAAAUAAUAUUAUCAAUUAUAAUUAUAUUAUCAAACAAUAUUAGCACGUUUGUAUCUAGAUUGGUUUAAUUAAGAGAUGAUAAAAUCAAAAUUUUAUAUAUUCAUUCUAGAAAUUAUCAUGUACCGCAUUAAUCAAGAAAAUUUGAAAAAUGAUGAAAAGGUAAGAAAAUAGUGCUUUGUAUGAACUAACUAAUUAAUAUAUUUAUUCGUUAACAAUUGUGGACUCUAAAUGGUCAACUAUAAAUUUUAAUUUAUACUUUUGUAUUUGUAUAAUAUAGAAAUCUGCAAAAUAAAAAAACAUAUAAAUCAAUAGAAAGAGACAAAAGUAUGAAAAAAGGGAAGAACGUAUGCUUAAAAAAAAAAAAGGAAGGACAAACAACUAAACCUAGAAAGAAAGUAAUGCACUAAUUAUUGGGUAGGAGGUUUGCCUAAGAUUAAAUAAUAUAGGGUAAUGGUAGAUUAGUAUUAUGAAAUACUUAAUAAAUAAGGAUAUAAUUGGAAAAUGAAACUAAGUAACAAUAGGAACACACCAAAUCGAUUGUUCCAUAAAAUGGAGGUUUUCAUUGUUACGUAACAAUGAAAUUUAACAAUUCAAUACAUUUUAAGUAACAUUCAAAACAAACAUUGUAUGUAUGAUAACAAUACAAUACAAUACAACAGGUUAUAAUGAUCCAAACAGAGUGUUAUUAGGUAUGUAUGUAUGAUAACAAUACAAUACAAUAUAACGGAUUAUAAUGAUCCAAACAGAGUGUAGUUAGGUACUAAGAAAAUAUAAAAAAAUAAUAAAGCAAUUAAAACUUUGCAAGAAUUGCGCCAGUUGAGUUACUCACAUUUUAGCCCAUUGCAAAUGCCAGUCUAAUACUUCAAAAAUCUUUGAACAUAUUGUCUAUUUGUUGACAAUCAUGAACAAAGUACAUUAUGAUAAAUAAUGGAAUGUAACAUAAAGCAAUUAAUCAAACAGAUACUAAAUAGCUUAUGAAAAAAAACAUAGAUUACACCUAAAUCUACUCAUUUAAACAAGCUUACUUGAAGAAUCCCACAUUCUGUUGGUAUAUAAUUUGAGUCUAUGGAAAAAUUUCUUGAAUUUUGAUUGGUUGGGGAGACCGUGUCAAUAAGAACUCAAAAUAUUGUGUAUUGAUUUUGUAUUUCUUUUUUUAUCUAUAUUGUUAUGAUUAAAGCCUUAAGAAUGGUGUAUUUAUUGUACUUUUCUCCAUUUUUAAUGUGUUUUCUCUCUAUUGCACCUCUUUUAAUUUAUUUUACUAUGAAUUUUUAAUUACCAUAAGUUUGUAUUUUAAACAUUAAAAUACAGUUCCCAGCCAUUUGAUAUUUACUGUCACACUGUUACGUUUUAUUACUAUUACACCCAUGUUUUAAAAAAGAAUAUUAAUCGAUUUUUUUUUUUUUGCAUGAGACACACGUGCUCAAAAACUUUAAGCCUUUUAAAAAUAUAUUCUUUUAUUGAAAUAGUAAUUUUUUCUAUUGACUCAAGUCGAAAUUUAAAUUAUUUUUUUUUUAUAGAGAUUAUUAAUUAAUCAAAUAUUAAUCUAGUAAAAUUUUAGGGUAUAUCAAAACUACGUAAUGGCAUUAACCUGCAUUUCAUAAUUAAUACUACCCACACGAUCAUAUUGUCGUCUGUCGACAUGACCAAUUUGUAAUAAUUAAGAAAUCAUUACAUGCUAAUCUGCUAUAAUAUCUGCUAAGAUUUUUUUGACCGUAUAAAAGAUAUUUUACACUGCUAACGUAUAUAUUAGUUAAACUCUAAUUAUAUAGUUGUGUAAAGUUCCCCAAUUAAACUCAAAUUACAUACCAUGGUUACGGGUCGGUUUAGGUAGGUUAUUGAUUAAAAUCAAAAUUAAACCAAUUUAAUUGGUUUUAAAAUUAUCAAAAUCAAAUCAAACUAAAUAUAAUCACAUUUGGUUAUUAUCUGUCACGCCCCAAGCCUACAACCUGGACGUGGCCGGCACUCGAAGACCAUUGCUGGCCCCCAAGCGAACCCUUGGCUUGGCUUUCUUAACUCAGCGGAAACUUAACUCAACAGAAUAACUCAAUGCAAUGAAAGGUUAUAAAACAACCUAACUGAUGCAUAACAUGCCAAAAGGCAACUCGUCUCAAAAUAGAAUAUUUACAUAUAUACAUAGAUGAGAGACUCAAUACUAACUGACUAACUGUCUAUGAAGCCUCUAAAAAUUCUGAGAUGGAUAUUGGGACAGACCCCGCAACAUCCUAAUAAAACCAAAACUAAGAACACAAAAUAACAGGGUCCUCCGGAAGGCAAGGAGGCUCACCACAGACUCUGGAGUGCUCAGCUGGAUCAACGGCGUNNNNNNNNNNNNNNNNNNNNNNNNNNNNNNNNNNNNNNNNNNNNNNNNNNNNNNNNNNNNUCAUGAAUAACUUAACUCAAUAUAAAGCAAUAAGACACAUGCAAUAUAUAUAAAGCUUGUAAAACAGUGUAAACAACUUAGCUCGUUAAUGAUAAAACAAUAACAAAUUCCACUUUACUUAUAUAAAAGUAGUAUAACUUUUGUGGGAGAUUCUUUAGCCGACAACCACCACUAUGAGCCUUAGUGAUGAUACAACGUUUUACCUCACGUUGCCCAAGGACCAUUCUAUACCUUGCCGUGAUAUAGGACCUUACUUUACUUAGUGGAUCCACUAGCUUAAUCUUACGUGAUCAUCUAAAAAGAAUGACCCGUUAAGUCCCAUGUUUGGCUACAUGGUUCUUAUAGAGAGUUGAGUUAAAUGAACUCGCUUCCCCAAUUCGGUGCUCAAUACUACUCCCAAAAAUACUUUGGCUCAUAAGUGUUUUAAACACAUCUUUCUUUAGUUUGAGAUAAUUGCUCAAAGCUUAGCUUAAAAUCUCUUUUGGAAUCGAUGUUCCCUUUCUUGCUCAAAUGUGAAAACAUUUUAAAAACUUCUUUGGAAAUACUUAGUUCCCUAAUGACUUUUGAGAAAUGAACUUGACUCUAUACUCUUUACUUGACUUGAAACUCUAUACUCUUUAUUUGACUUGACUUUGAUCCUAACUUUCUUGAAUUGAAAUAUGGAUUCAAGGAUUCAUGAUUUGUGUUGGGAAAGACCUCAUGAUGUUUAGGAAUGAUUUAGGACAGCUAAACUUAAGAAAAAUUACGAAAUUUAAUUUUUGAAACAAUGAAGUCCGUGUCCUGUCCGCGACGCAGAGCAAAUUUUUGUUCACAGAGGGAACAAGUCUGUGACGCAGACUUGUUUCAUGCAAGCUGCCCGACUUUUCUCAUUCAUGUUACCAACUCUAUACCCUCUUAACUUCAAAGGUUCUUUUCCCAAACACUUGGGAUCAUUAAAAACCCUUAAUACACAAAGGAUUCAACUCAAAACCACAACCUAAAACAUGUCUCAAAUCCACAAGAACUUCAACAACACAACCACAACCUCACCAACCACAACCACAAGACUUCAAUAAACACAACCAAAUCUUUUCUCGGGAAUUUAAAAUGAAUUUGGCGUGUGGGGGAAUGAACCAACCCAACACUAUGAUCUCACAUACCUAGUAGGGAUCACCCCCGACGAUAUCCACGACGAUCUUUGAUGAAACCUUGCUUGAUCUUCUCUUUCUCCCCUUCUUCUCCUCUUUACUCACAAACCCUCACUCUCACACUUUCAAAAAGGGAAAAACUGAUCUAAAAUCAGUCUAACACCUUAAUAUAUCCAAAAGAAUUGGUUAGGGAAAAGACCAAAAUACCCUUAAAAUUUUCGGACGGACCUCCCUGCCAACUGCCCAACUUCCAAAGGGCAUAACUCACUCAUACAAAUUCGGAAUCGAAAAAACUCGGUGUCUUUGGAAAGAUCAUUCCACGAGCUUCGCAACCAUAACUGGAAAUACACCUAACUCAUCCUGAGCUAGAAGUUAUGACUGUUCAAAGUUGGCCAAAAACUCACCUUUUUCCCAUACUUAGCCAAAUUUUCCAGAUUUUUAAAAGUCUUUCCAAAAAUGACUAUUUCUAAUUUUUAAGCUUCUUCCUAGUUAUCAACUUGCAAGAUGUCACAUUAUCGGUAUCGUUUCGAUUUGAUUUGGUUAUUUGAUUAUUAACCAUACACAAAAAUAAAAGAAACAAUUCAUUCAAAACAUGUAAAAAGUGACAAACAAUUCAUUCAUAAAAGAAACAAUUCAUUUAAAAUGUGAAAAAAGUGACAACAAUCCAUUCAAAACGAAAAAUAGUUAGAAUGACUUAAAUUACUAAACUUUCAAUCACUAAAUUUACUAUCAAUAAAGCUUUAAAAUUCACUAUAUUGGCCUAGAAGGAAGAGACAAUAACAUUUUCAGUCCCACAAAGAAUUGUCAUAGACACUCAUAUACAUGAAAUCAAUAAGAUAAAUGUUUCAUCUCGGGCAUUUUUGCUUUCAAUAAGUAAAUUAUAAAGAAAUUUUAAUGAAAAUAUGUAUAAGAUCUUUAAAAUUGUUUAUAAAAAUAAUAUAUUAAGUAUGUAUAUUAAUAAAAUAUAUGUAUAUAAUUCAUCGGUUCGGUUCGGUUAUUUCUUCGGUUUUUUUCGAAUAAAACCAUAAUCAAACCAAAUACUAUCGGUUUUCAAAAAUCUAAAACCAAACCAAACCAAACCCAAAUAAAAUCGGUUUUAUUUUAUCGAUUUGGUUUGGUUUUUCGGUUUGGAUCGGUUUUUAUCCAAACCGUGAACACCCCUAGUUGUGUAAAGUUCCCCAAUUAAAAUACCAUGGUUAUGGGUCAGUUUAGGUAGGUUAUUGAUUAAAAUCAAAAUUAAACCAAUUUAAUUGGUUUUAAAAUUAUCAAAAUCAAAUCAAACUAAAUAUAAUCAUGUUUGGUUAUUAUCGGUAUCGUUUCGAUUUGAUUUGGUUAUUUGGUUAUUAACCAUACACAAAAAUAUAAUAAAAGAAACAAUUCAUUCAAAACGAAAAAUAGUUAGAAUAACUAACUUACAAAACUUUCGAUCACUGAAUUUAUUAUGAAUAAAACUUUAAAACUCACUAUUUUGGCCUAGAGGAAAGGAACCCAUAAAUUAAGAAUUGAGACACCAUAUACAUGAAACCAAUAAGAUAAAUGUUCUCACCUUGGGCACUUAUGCUUUCAUAGGUAAAUUAUAAAUUAAUUUUGAUGAAAACAUAUAUAAGAUUUUUAAAAUUGUUUAUUAAAAUAAUAUAUUAUGUAUUUAUAUUAAUAAAAUGUAUGUAUAUAAUUUAUCAGUUCGGUUAUUUCUUUCGAACAAAACGAUAGCCAAAUCAGAUACUAUCAAUUUUUAAAAAUCUAAAAUCAAACCAAACCAAACUUAAAUAAAAUCAAUUUGGUUUGAUUUUUCGGUUUGGAUAGAUUUUUAUCUAAACCGUGAACACCCCUAUCUUGGAUGUUGUACAUAUUGUAGUUGACCGAAGUGUUUAGGGCCGCAGUUAUCCAAAAGUUAAAUUGUUGAACUUAAUUAUAUGUAAAGUUCUCAUUAAACUCAAAAUUUUAGAUACAUUCCAAAUGUAUCAUAGCUAUGCAAGUGGACACUUCUGUGAAUAUAUAUAUAACUUCUAGGGAAUUAUUACUACUUCACUCUAAAACACAUUCAAUUCAAUUGUUUGAUAUUUUUGUCCUUCUAUUGUUAUUAUACAUAUUUUCCAUCAAACAUGUUUCAAGAAAACUUGCAUUACCCCUGCAUGAACAAUAUUACAACUGAUUUUCCAGCAGAAAUUGAAUCCUCCAACAAAAAGAGAUGGCACUUAGCUUUGGCAACCAUCUAUUGUUCCAGAGCUUUUAAAACUGCUUAUAGUCAUGGAUACUUUCUGUAUCGACUGAUACAAUCGCGAUUGAUGUCCUUUUUUCUCAGACAUUAAUUACUCAAGUCUAGCUAAGCUUGUCAAAGAUAAAAACGUUGACGAACUUGCAAACCUUGGUGGUGUACAAGGUGUUGCUACUUCUCUCAAAACUGAUACAACUAAUGGAACGAACGAUGCACCAGCUUUAAAGGAAGCAGAUAUAGGACUUUCUACGCGGAUUCAGGGCACUUAAGUGGCUAAAGAGAGUUCUGAUAUUGUUGUCAUCUUAGAUGCUAAUUUUGCUUCAGUUGCCACAGUUCUGAAAUGGGGAAGAUGUUUCUAUAUCAACAUCCAGAAAUUCAUCCAAUUUCAGCUCACAGCAAAUGUGGCUACGCUCAUGAUCAAUUUUAUAGCAGCUGUAUCAUCUGGUGAGGUACCACUCACAGCAGUACAAAAACAUCUAAAAAUAACAAAAAUCAUUCUUCCGUGUAUUUUUGUUAAGAAACUAAUUGAACCAUUUUUUAUUUUUUUUAAUUUGGUCAUGUCUUAGCCACGAUGAGAAGAUCAAAGUUACCUAAAAAGAAUAAGAAUAUGGAUAGGAAAUGAAUCUUUCAUUCUUAGAAUUUAAAUUUUGUGUUGUUAGUUUAUAUGAUUUUUGCAUCAUUAAGUAAAUUGACUUGCAAUAAUACGUAAGUCUUGAAAUAUUUAUACAGUAGGUUAUGAUGGUUACAAAGAUUAUGUAAAAAAAAUAAUUUUAAAAAUAUUACGUCCAACUAUUUAGAGAUUUUCUUUAAUAAAAUAUUUAGUACGUAUGUAUGUUAUCAAUGCAAUUUUAUACAAUGUAGAGAAAUGCUGAAAAUUUAGUGAAAGCAUGUAGGCAUUUAGUUAUGAAAAUAAAAAAAAAAUUAAGUUAUUUGAAAUUUUUGAAGUUGAAGUUGUAUUCGGCCAUACUUUUUACAAAGAAUAUUUUGAAAUUUGAAUAUAUUUUGUCUGAAUAUGAUUUAAACUCUCAAUUUCUAAAAAUUAGAAAAAUCACCUAACUUGACUAGCUUAACCAUGUGUACAUAUAUUCAUUUAACUUGACACUUUUUUUUUUGUUGGUGGUGUGAGUUUCUUAAAAAAAUAGAUAGAAGGAUGAAUCUUGCAACUUUUUGGAUAGUGCAAGGAUGGUUUUUGUUCACUUAUAUAAUAUAAGGAUAUACUUUAGACUUAAGUCAUACUUUAGGAUGAUUUUAACAUUUGUAGCAGAAUUUCCACAUAUAUAGGGGUAAGACUCGGAUUAGAGAUUAUAUAGAAGCACCCCCAACCCCCUUCUUUUUCUUCCUUCGAGUAGGUCCGCUCACUGGAAAGUUAGGUCCAUAGAAAGGUUCCAUCCUCCAAGGAAUAUCGUAAAACAGCCGAAAGGCGAUGACAUUCCUUGUGGCAAGAGUCGACCUCUAGGGUAUCGAGGAAGGUUGGAGAAUAUAGGUUACAGAGCUCAUCAGUCCAAGUCUCAGAAGAGAGACUCCUACGCCAUCCAUUCUUUCAGUAUGAACCAGUUAAAGAGCAUAACCAAAAACUCUCGUUAAAUGGUUGAUUGAUGUUGCAUUCAUUUAUUACUCGCUAGUCACUACUUGUAUUUCUCUAUGUUACGUUUUAAAACAAAAUUUAUGUUUCAAUAAAUAAUUAAAAUGAGAAUCUUAUUAUUUAAAAAAAAAACUUAAUUUAAAACAAAAAUUAUAUUUCAACAUUUAAUAAAAUAAUCACUUAAAUUGGUUGGAUGACUUUCUAAAUGAAAUAUCAAUAGAGUGAUUUUGUAUAUAAAAUAUUCAUAGUUGGGUGCCUUUAAUGAUAUAAAAAAGGAGGGAAAGUUGAGUGACUUUCUAUGAAAAGAACUAUCACAUUCGUUCAUAUUUACAUGUCAUCCUUAUAAAAAAUAAAUGUUCCUUAAGACUUGUCAUUACACAAAAUCAAUGUAUAGAUGACACAAUUUUUCCUAUUUUACUCUUAAGAGUUAUUAGUUUUAAAAUGUAUGAAUUUGACCAACAUAGGAAAACUAAGUAACUUAUUCAUGUUAAUUGGUUAAUUAAAUAAAAUAAAUUAAUUCAUGUUUAUUUAUUGAAAAAACUUGACUUUAAAAUAACACUAAAUAAAAAUAUAAUAAUAAAUUGAUCUAAUUUCUAAGGAGCGUAAAAUCUAAAAUGAUAACGCUAUAUUCAUAUUCGUCAUACGUUAUAACUUAUAAGCCAAGCUGGAAUCCAAUAUACACUCUUAUAAAAUAAUCUUAAAGAAUGACCAGUCUCAAGUCAACAACAAAAAGACCAGCAUCUUUUAUAACAUUCUAAAGUGGAAGUACAAGGAAAACGAAAAAAGGCUAUGUGUUUAGAGGCGGAGUUAAGCGAGGAUUUGUGAGUUCGAAUGAAUUCAAUAGCUUUUUUUUGUAAAUUUUGUAUUUGUAAUAAAAAAUUAAAUAAAUAUAUAUAUUUUAUUAAUUUGUGAACCCCUAUUAAAAUUGAUUGACUGUUCAGUGGUAAGGAAGUGAUCGUGAAAAUACUUUUCACGCUAGAAUUGUGGGUUUGAACUCUUCCUCUUUUUUUUUUUUUUUUAAAAAAGAAAAUUUAGAAACCCCAAACUCUUAUCUUGACUCCGCCGCUGUGUUUAUGUAAUUUGUUAAAUGCUUGUUUGGAUUCUUAAUUAGAGAUACGUUUUAGGUUUAAUAUAGUUAUUGGUAUCCAUUAGUUCUUUAUUUAUGUUAUUUUCUAUCUUUACUUAUUUAUUCUUAAAUUUUAAGAUUAUUAUACCUCUCUUUUGAUAUAUCUCCUAUGUUCAAUAAUAGUUGUCUAUUAAACUAAAAGUAAUUGUUCAAUAAUACUUGUCCAAUUUAAAAAAUCAAGAGAUAAUUUACCCUUUGUGUCUAUUUUAUCCUUCCUAUUAAAUAUUAUUUAUCAUCUAACACAUUUUUCAAAGCAUUAAAUUUAAUAAAGUCAAAAGAUAAUAUAGUAAUAUUACCUCUAUUAUUUAUACUCUCUCUGUCCGUAAUUACUUUUGAAUUGACACACCUAUUAAGAAAACAAUGAUUGACAUAGUAAAUUUACAAUUUUACUCUUAUUAAUUAUGAAGUGGAUGAAUUAAAAACUUAAGAUUUUCAAGAAAUUAUAUAUUUUCAAAGUAACUAACUGAGGGUAUAAUAGGUAAAAAAAAUACUUUAAUCAUUUAUUGAUUUUUCAAAAUGAAUAAGUAAUUAGAAAUAACUAAAAAAAUAAAAAGUGAAUAAGUAAUUAGUAACGAGAGGGUAAGUAAAUUCAUAUAUCCUUUUCUUAGAAAUUUCUUUAAAGUUUGCGAAACGAUGGUACUAUGCUCACUUUUUAUCCCUUUUUCCUUUUGCUUUUGGACAAGUGUUUUCAUCUUGCCUCUUCAUUUCAUGCAUGAUAAUUAUCCAAUCUUUUUUUUUUUUUGAUAAGUGUAUUACAACUAUUAUCCAAGCUGGAAUCUAGCACUUUGGCAGGGUUAGAAAAAUGCUGUUGUGUUAAUUUUGCAUAUUUUUAGUAUAUUGUUUGGUAUAUAUUUUUUAGUCUAUAUAUGUAUAAUUAAUAUUUGUAUUAGUUAUAUACUUUAUUGUGUAUUAAGGUGUGUAUUACUAAUAGAGAAAAUGGCUGAAUAUUUUCUUUAACUUUGCUAUUUAGAGUUGAUACACCACUCAUUAUGAAAGUGACUCAAAUUUUAAUAUACAUAUACCAUUUUCCUCUAAUGGAAGUGAAAAAAAUAAUUUUAAUAUAAUCCAUAUGGGGUAUAUUUGAUCCUCCUCACAAGUACUUUUUUGCCUUUUUUGUUUCAACGAUUAAUUUAAAUUUAUUAUUUUGAUGGUCAAAUUUAUUUAUGUUUCACUAAUUUUAUUGUAAAUUUUAUUAUAGAUACCCCAAUUUUAUUUUUUUUACAAAUACAAAAACUAAAUUUCAAUAUAACCGCAAAAAGUUAGCUUUAAAUUUUUCUUACACUAAAAAUGAAAGGAAAAAAAAGAAUAAGAAACUCAAAUAACAAUAUAAUCAAAGAAGUCAAAAAUAAUUUAUGUAUGAAAAAGAUCAAAACAUACUUCAAACUUUGCUAGAAGGAUCAUAUGUACCUCUAUAUGGAUUUAAAAAAAAAUUAAAAGUAAGAAAAAUAAAUUUAGAACUAAUUUUUUCACUUUCGUUAGAUGAAGGGUAUAUGUGAGCUCCUUCUGUAACGAUAGGGGUAUAUCAUAUAUGUGAGUUAUUUGUAUAACUGUAAGGGUAUAUAUAAGUCACUUUCUUAAUAAAGGGUACAUCAACUUUUUUGACAAAGUUAAAGGGUAUAUCAGACUUACUAAUCAUAUCAUGAUUUCCAUGUAUUAAUAUAUUUUACAUAGGAUUGGUUAAUGAUGUAACGAUCCCUCAAAUCUCCCUUAAUAUAUUUUCCAAAGCCAAAGAGUGUGAGGGGUGGUUUUGUGAACAAAUAUUUUUGGGAAAAUUACUUAUAUAAACACAUUUACUUACCUUACUAUCAAUUUAUCCCUACCUUUUUUAAAAAUUUCAAAAAUCCCUUAAUUCCCCCAAUUCAUAAAAUCUUCCGGAUACAUAAAUAUUUCACUCCUAUUUUCAGCCUACACCCACGUUUCUCACUCCCCAUUUCACUCCUCCAUUUUAUCCCUAAAUUCUCUCCACUUCUUUAGCAGUUACAAAUUUUAAAUUCAUUUUGAUUUUCAGAAGGUGUCUCUCAAGUUUAUCAAUUAAUCUAUUUUGAAUUUCAAAUCUUUUCUAUUUCCAAUUAAUGAUUUCAAAUUAUUCAAGAGGUAGAUUUCUUUCCAUCACUUCUAUUUUCGAUUUCUUUUAUUAUUAUUUUUUAAUUUUUUCAUCUUAAAAAAUAAAAAUAAAAUUACCUUCGCCCCCUGCCUUCUUUGAAAUCUUAUUGAACCUUUGCAAUUUUAGUUAAUCAUAUUGUCGUUGAAAAUUUUUCUUGAAAAAUAUUUAUUUUCUUUUAAUGUUUCUACUAUUGAAAAAUGUCCAAAAAAAGAAGAAGAAAAAAGUUGGAUUUGCCAUUGCACGGCCAUCACUAUCAAAGAUACAAAUUUUUAAUGUAUCUCGUUUAUUUUGAAUCUUAAAUUAGUCUUUGUUAGUGUUAUCAUUGAUCUUAUACAUUACUGCUACAAUAACAUUUGUUUUAUGCAAUGUAUAAUGUUCAUAUUUAAAGUAUUGAUAUAUAACUCUAAUGUUGUUGAAUCUUCGAUUAGUGUUUAUCAUGUUCAAUAUAAAUGUACUUGAUACGUAAACUUUGUGUUAUUUAUCACACACAAAAAAGAAGCUAUUUUGGAACAAUUACAUGUAUAAUGUAUUUUUUUAAAAAAUUUAAAAAUAUAGUAUUUCUCAAACAAAAUAAGAUACAUAAAUAAUAAUGUAUCAUACACUAAUUUUUUGUUAUGAUACGUAAAUUCAAAUUUAUAUUAAAUGUAUCUGAUACAUAACAAUUACCAAACAAUAAUGUAUCGAGCUCAAACUUAAAAUCUUAUAGGCAACACUUUCUUAUUUAAUGUAUCUAGUAGAAAUACAACACUUAUCAAUUUAAAUUGAAAGGAUCUUCAUGAUCUCAAGCAAAAUAAGAUACAUAAAUAAUAAUGUAUCAUACACUAAUUUUUUGUUAUGAUACGUAAAUUCAAAUUUAUAUUAAAUGUAUCUGAUACAUAACAAUUACCAAAUAAUAAUGUAUUGAUCUCAAACCUAAAAUCUUAUGGACAACACUUUUUUAUUUAAUGUAUCUAGUAGAAAUACAACAUUUAUCAAUUUAAAUUGAAAGGAUCUUCAUGAUGUAUCUUCUCAAAAUUUUUGAUAAUUUUGAAUCAAAAUUGAAAGAAUCUUCAAUGAAUUAUGAGAAUAAUUUUGAAACUCAAAAUUUUCAACAAUUUUGAAUCAAAAUGGAAAGGAUCUUCUAUGAACUGGAGAAGAAUUUUGAAUCUCAAAAUUUUCGUCAAUCUUGGAUCAAAAUCGAAAGGAUAUUCGAUGAACUUGAAGAUUCACGAAAGAAAUCGUUUGUCCAACAACAAUUCCAUCACUUUUGUAUCCUUCAUAACUCACCUCGCUUAUCCACAAUUUUGACAAAAGUUUUUAUGAAACAGAGAGAACGAUGAACAAGAAGAAGAAAUUUAAUUUUUGAAUUUUUUGGUUUGUUACACUAUAGGAUUUUGAAUUCUUGACAAUAAUUUGGAAUGGAAUAGUGUAAUUUAUGGGAUCUUAAUUUGAUUUUUCAGUUUUUCUCCCCUUAAUAAGUGCAACAGAUUGAUACAUAAUGUAUCAACAAUAAUGUAUUCGGAUCCUUAAUUAUGUAUCCGCAAUUCCUAAGAAAUAUGGGAUUUAUGUAAUUACAAAAAUAAUAGGGAUAGAAGGUAAUUUCGAUUUUACACUAUGGUAUUUAUGUAAGUUAUACAAUGUUUUUUAUAGAAGUUAUGCAAAACUCAUUAUUUUUAAUACGUCAAACCAAAUAGUGUAUACGAAAUAAUGUCAGUAUAACUAAUACCAACAUUUUACUAAUGCAAUCAUGACUAAAUACUAAUACACCACAUUCUACAUUAUUUUUGUAUACUCUGACAAUCGACCCCUAAGUGGGUUAUUUUGAUAUUAAAUUCAUUCCAUGUUUCGUUGAAGCUGUUGACUUGUUGUCAUUACAACAAAAAGAUAUUUAGUGGCAAUAGAUUUUCUUUUUACCAACAAUUGAGUUAAUGUCAUUACAUUCCGAAUGGCUAAAGCCUCUAGCAACAUUUAUAUAGAGUGUUGAUUAUUAAUACACAUACUAUUUAUUUUAUUUAUGAAAAUUUCAAAAUAAUUCGCAAUCGCUACAACAUUUGUCCUUCGAGUGAGCACUCUAUAAUAAACUGUACUAGGCAAACCCUAUACGACAAGCUUGAAAUAAAAUUAUUCACACAAAAUAUAAUUCACAUAAAUAUAAUAUAACAGCAAUAAUCUAAAUAAUUCACACAAAAUCCUUUAUUUAUCAUAUAUAAGUACUGUCAUUUAAAAUCCCCAAAAAAUACAAACCAACUCAACAAUCAUUGUACUCACUUUUUUGCCUUGGCUUGCUCCUUUUGCUUUUCACUCAAUAUUGGAGUCUAAUUAUUUUUAAAUUUUGUCACGUAGAGCUUUAUUCAAAGCAAAAUCAUUUGUUAUCAAGAAUUUUUCUAAGCUCUCAAACUCAAGUCUUUUUUAUUAAGGGAGAACAAUCUCAUCCAUUGCACGAGCAUCCUUCGGUUCCUUUUGCUUUUUUGUGUGUGUACAAUACUUGAUUACAUGAUUACGUCAAUCGUUUUUCAUUCUCUGAUUAGUCAUACUCAUAUUAUAUAUAAGCCAAGCUGGAAUCCAAUCUUUAUAUAAGCUUAUUAAACAAAGACCAGAACAAAAGACAAACAAUCUUUUAUAACUUUCACUAUUGCUGCAACUUCCAAGAAUAAUAUCAUCUCCUCACUCCUAACAGCCUGUCUGUUACACACGGUUUACUUUUGUCUAUAAACUUGUAGCCAUCACCUCUUUUAUACAACAACAGAAUCUAACAGACAUUUCAAAUUAUCAAACUAGAAAUUAUAUUAAACACAUCGUCAGUUACCUAUUUGGAUAUUAUUAUUAUUUUAUCAAAAAUCAUGUGUGACAACAUCUUGCAAGUGCAAUUAACGCCUAUUUUAACGUCCCCCGCCAGGAAGAGAUGGCGUUGGGCGUUUAAAAUUCUCUAUACUUCCAGGGCAUUGCUGUCUACAGCCAGGAAGAUUGUUGCUGAAAAACAAACCAAAUGAAGACCACCACUAUUUAUAGUUGAGAGAGUCUUCCUAGCAAUGAAUAGGAAGAUAAUGGGUAGUAAAUAGUGAAGAUAAUGACCUUAGGAGUUACAUAGGUUACAAGGUAUAAUAGAGGAAUUAUGAGUGACAAUCAAGUAGGCACUAAUGCCAUCAACGCAAUUUUGCAUCUGUUGCAAAACUGAAGUGCCAUAUUGCACUAACUCCUAAUGGUGUAAUGCUCCAAAUAAAUGUCCAACGGUUAAGACAAAAGAAUUAUCCACCAACGGACAAUUUCACAGCAAAUGCCAUACUUUGACUCCAUACAUUUCAAGCAAAUUAAUAUACAAAAAUAUUAAUAUUAAAAUGCUGACCAACAAGGAUUAAUUAUUAUAGAAAAUAAAAGGUUUUGAAAACACUAUUUUUUUUAAAUACUUAUAAAACUAAGCAGUUUGGGCAGCUAUGUUAAACAUGCUCUAAGUGUCUCGUGGAGAAAGAUGACAAAAACCAACUACAAUUACAAAGACAAGAGGCAACGUAACCCACAACUUGGAGGCUCAAUGGAGCCAACUGGUUCACAAUUUGAAUUGCUGAUUUGCUGUCACUGUGUAAUAUAACUGGGAGUUGCACAUUUACAUUCAACUCUUUACACAAACCAAUUAGCCAUAGAAUUUCUGAUACACCUGCUGCCAUGCUUCUGUACUCUGCUUCUGCUGAGCUCCUAGAUACAGUCGUUUGUUUCUUUGCCUUCCAAGAUAUCAAUGAUUCCCCAAGCUUCAUUACAUAGCCUGUAACAGACCUUCUUGAGAUAGGACAUGUGGCCCAAUCAGCAUCACAGAAACCUGUUAAUUCAGUAGACUGCUUUGAUACCAUGUUAGAAUUCAGAAACAUUGCAGUGACUUCCAUUAAUGGAGGAAAUCUAAAACUGCUAUUGGUUGUAAAUGGGUUUUUAAAAUCAAGUACAAGGCUUGUGGUGUUGUUGAAAGAUACAAGGCUCGGCUUGUGGCAAAAGGGUAUAACCAGAAGGAAGGUUUAGACUAUGUGGAGACCUUUUCACCUGUGGUCAAGAUGGUUACUGUCAGGGUGGUACUUGCUCUUGUUGCUGCUCAUAACUGGUCUCUUCAUCAGCUUGAUGUCUACAAUGCCUUCUUGCAAGGGGAUCUUCACGAAGAAGUAUAUAUGCAUGUUCCACAGGGAUUUUCCAGUCAGGGGGAGAAACAAGUCUGUAGACUGCAUAAAUCCCUGUAUGGACUAAAGCAAGCAUCAAGACAAUGGAACUUGAAGCUCACUGAAGCAUUGAUUAACUCAGGGUUCACUCAGAGUCAUUUUGACUAUUCUCUACUUCUUCUUGAAGAUCCCCUUGCAAGAAGGCAUUGUAGACAUCAAGCUGAUGUAGAGACCAAUUAUAAGCAGCAGCAAGAGCAAGUACCACCCUGACAGUAACCAUCUUGACCACAGGUGAAAAAGUCUCCACAUAGUCUAAACCUUCCUUCUGGUUAUACCCUUUUGCCACAAGCCUAGCCUUGUAUCUUUCAACAGCACCACAAGCCUUGUACUUGAUUUUAAAAACCCAUUUACAGCCAAUAGCAGUCUUGCCAGGAGGUAGAUCAACCAAGGACCAGGUCUCAUUAUCCUUCAAGGCCUGAAGUUCUUGAUCCAUGGCCAACACCCAGUCAGGAUCCAAAGAAGCUUCAGCAUAACAAGAUGGUUCUCGCAAGGCAGUCAUCUUAGACAAGAAAGACUGAUAUGGACCAGACAAGCAUGUAUGGGACAAGUGAGAAGACAUGGGAUAAAGACAUGCAUUUGAAACACCGCUGGAAGGAAUGGAUGUACAGACAUAAUCCUGCAUCCAAGAAGGUUGUGUCUUAGUCCUUGUUGAUCUUCUGGCUUCCAGAUUAUGUGGAUGAAUGGGACCAGCAUGAGGUGUUGGAGGAAGAGUCACCUCAGGAGAGGAAAUUAGACCAGAUGCAACAUUAUCAAGAGGCAAAGAAGCUGGGACAACGACAGCAGUAGGUGAUGUAUCAGUGUUAAUAACACCAUUUGGAAAUAUGUGAAGUUGACCAGACUUUUGCAGCUGAAAAGGAAAUAUAGAUUCUUGAAAAUGUACAUCCCUGCUAACAAAGAAGUGGUUAGUUAACAGACUGUAAAGUCUGUAGCCUUUCUGAGUAGCAGAGUAGCCCAUGAGAACUGCCCCAAUAGCUUUAGGACCAAAUUUGUCACCUCCAGGAACAACAGUAGCAAAACACAAGCAUCCAAUAGUUCUCAUGUGUUGGAGAGAUGGUGGUCUCCCAUAUAACAACUCAAAAGCUGAUUUACCAUUCAAGACAGAUAAAGGGAGUCUAUUUAUGACAUAUACAGCAUUUUGAACACAUUCACCCCAAAAUUUCAGAGGCAAAUGACCGUGGAGUCUGAUUGCCCUAGCUACUUCCAAACUGUGUUUGUGUUUCCUCUCAACCAAACCAUUCUGUUGCGGAGUGUAAACACAUGAGCUUUGAUGAAUGAUACCACAAGAGUUAAACAAUGCAUCACAAUCAGAAUUAAAAAAUUCUGAUCCAUUGUCACUUCGAAACACUUUAACAGUUGCUCCAAACUGAUGCUGAAUUAGAGGAAUAAAUUGUUUCAAAACAACAAUUACAUCACUUUUGAGUUUCAACAAAAAAAUCCAUGUCAUCCUAGUAUAGUCAUCGACUAGGGUAAGAAAGAACCUACUACCAUCAUGAUUACAAACCCUAUAAGGGCCCCAAACAUCAGCAUGUAUCAUUUCUAAAGGAGAAGUAAAUCUAGUAGUUUUAACAGGAAAAGAUAGUCUUCUCUGCCUGGCUAGUGGACAAAUGGUGCAUUCUUUGAUGUUGCUACUACUUGUGCUAAAAUUCAUAUUUGGAAUUUUCAUCAGGACUUUGUCAGGAGCAUGUCCCAAUCUGUUGUGCCAUGUUUUUAAGUCUGUAUUUGUACCAAUUGGUCUUGAGUCUACAGUUGCAGUUGCUGCCAUUGCCUGCUGGUAGUCUUUCACUUGCAAUUGCAUCCUGUAUAAGCCAUCACACAUCUUACCAAUCCCCUUCACUUUCCCACUGUGAAGGUCCUGCAUAAUGCAUAGGUUAGGAUAAAAAGUGACAAAACACUUCAGAUCCUUUGUCAGUUUUGAAACUGAUAGCAGGUUGUAUUGGAAGUUUGGUAUGCAUAAGACAUCAGUAAGUUCUGCUCCACCUCCCAAGGAGCAUGAACCAAUACAUGCAAUUUCAAGGGCAUUACCAUCUGGUAAAUAAACCUUACUGGAAGGUAUGUUGUCUGCUAUUGUAGUCUCAUUAAGCAUAUGUUUAUCAUGUAUCAUGUGAUUAGUGGCCCCUGAGUCAACUAUCCAUUUAUCAUAAGCAAUUUCAUGUGUUGCUAGAAACGAAUAAAGUAUACCUGCUACAUGUUUCUCAGAUGUAGUACAGUCUUUGUUGAUCAGCUUCAGUAAUUGAUCAUACUGAUCUUGAGUGAACAUGAUACCAUUGUUGCGACUUGCAUCAGUGUCAUUCAGCUGGUUGUUCGAGCAGGUGUGUUCCUUCUCACGAGCAUAGAGAGCAUGUUGUAUUUGUGGAUCCCCCUGUGCAACUAUGUUAGCAGUUGGCCUGUACCUUGUGGGAUGGUUUCCUCCUUCAUUUGUUCCUGCUGGUCGGUUUCCUCCUCCAUUUGUUCCUGCUGGUCGGUUUCCUCCUCCAUUUGUUCCUGCUGGUCGGUUUCCUCCUCCAUUUGUUCCUGCUGGUCGGUUUCCUCCUCCAUUUGUUCCUGCUGGUCGGUUUCCUCCUCCAUUUGUUCCUGCUGGUCGGUUUCCUCCUCCAUUUGUUCCUGCUGGUCGGUUUCCUCCUCCAUUUGUUCCUGCUGGUCGGUUUCCUCCUCCAUUUGUUCCUGCUGGUCGGUUUCCUCCUCCAUUUGUUCCUGCUGGUCUUCUCUUCCCUUGUGAAUCAGGAGGAUAACCAUGUAGCUUCCAGCAUUUGUCCACUGAGUGCCCUCUCAUAUGGCAGAAUUCACAAUACAAAUCAUUAGUCCUCCUUGGUUUGAAGUUGUUGUCUGCAUCCCUAAAAUUGUUUCCUGGAUUUCGAUGAUUGCCAGUCACUCGAUUAUUGAAUAAUGCUAUCCCAUCCAUGGAUUCCCCCAUAUGAACUGAUUUGCCUAGAGAUCUUCGACUCUCUUCAGAGAUCACCAUCGAGUAUGCCUUGUUCAAGCUAGGAGUGGGAGUCAUCAUCAUGAUCUGACUUCGACAUUGGCUGUAGGACUCAUUCAACCCCAUUAAGAACUGUAACAAACGUUGAUACUCAAAAUGUUCAACAUAUUUCUUUGAUUCAGCACAUUCACAACCAGGACAUGGCAUGAGGGCAUCGAAUUCUUCCCAAAGCACCUUCAUCUUCGAGAAGUAACUCGAUAUAGAGGAAGUACCUUGAGUGAGAUGAUUAAUUUCUGUGUGUAGAUGAAACACCCUAGAUCCGUCAACCUUAUCUAGUCGUUCCUUCAAAUCAGUCCAAACUUGUGUGCGCUAGAGGCAUACAUGAUUCCACUCAAUAAUUCUUGCUAACAGCAUUCAUUAUCCAUGACAGCACUAUUGCAUUACAUUUUCCCAAAGUUCAUGCAAUGAUGUAUCGAACUUAUCCUUAGUGUGUCUUCCAUCUACAAAACCUAAUUUGCUCUUUCCUACCAGUCCAAUUCUCAUCGAUCUACUCCAAAUUGCACAAUUUUCUGGACCUGUUAGGAGAAAUGAGAUUAGAUUGUUACCUGGAGUAUCACACGCCUGCAGGCACAGAGGAUGGGGAUGAUCAAUCACUGUAGGAGUUGUGGUGGCUUCAUUAUCAAUUGCCAUUGUUGUUCGCCGAGUGCUCUGAAUCGUAGAUCCACUUCUUAGUUACAAAAAAAACUAGUGUGGUUUGUGACUUGAAUUCAGAAGUCCAGAAACUCUCCUCAAAGCUCUGAUACCAUGUUAGAAUUCAGAAACAUUGCAGUGACUUCCAUUAAUGGAGGAAAUCUGAAACUGCUAUUAAGCUUGAAUGAACAUAGGCAGAAUUCUGGGAGAAUACAGAAUUGGGAAAUUUUCUCUGAUUAAAACCAAUACUGAAAAUUUGAUCAUCUACACACUUAUAUACACGUUUUAACUUGUAACUAACUAAGCUAGCUAAUAUCUUUCUAACAAACUAUUAACUAACAGCCUUAACAAUAAUCAGUUAACUAAUCACGUGAUGGUGCCAUGUCACAUACGUAUUAACCUUUCUCAUCCUCAAUAAAAACAAGACUGAGCUCUUGAGCAACUUUUCGCGCUCUCAAUCUUAUACAGUAGUUGAUAUCGAACCAGAAUGUUUUUCGAGUAUCAACAAGCAAAUGUUAGCAAAACUCGUUCGAGUGAGAGAUGUUAAACAGUUUGAUGGUGUGGAAAGCGUGUUGUUUGUCCUGAAAACUGAUGCUGACAAGGGUAUCUUAGGUGAUGAUAAGGAUAUUGCUUCUCGGCGCAAACAUUUUGGGACUAACACAUUUAAGAAGCCAUCAGUAAAUCUAUUGCAAAUAUUAUUGAAGAGCCUCAAAGAUCCUAACAUCAUCAUUGUACUGCUGUAUGCUGUUUUAUCACUCGGUUUUGGCGUUAAAAAACAUGGGGUGAAAGGAUGUUUGGAUGGGGGAAUUAUACUAAUUUCCCUGUUUCUUGCCAUUAGUCUCUCUGCUUUUUGUAAUCAUAUCAUUUAUUAUUAUAAGUGGGAGGCUCAAUUUUCAAAGUUGAAUUACUCUUUUACCCUUUUACUAAAUAAAAAUAUUUAAUUAAUAAAAAUAUCUAAUCUAAUUAGUAGCAAUAUUUAAAUUGUUACACAAUUACUAAUGUAAUAAAUAAAAUAUCUACUCUAAUUAAAUAGGAGUAAUAUUUUAAUUAUCACACAAUUACAGCAGCCUAUAUUCAAUGUCUUGGAAUUGCUAGCUUUUUCAUCUUCCUAAAAUUGUCCUCUAUUCAAUAUUUUGGUUUCGUUUCAACUUCCUUAACUUAUUUUUCAAUUUUUUAUACCAAUUUAAUGUCUUGGUAUUCUACUUUAACAUGCAUUGAAUCAAAUCAAAAUGACCCUUUUGAAUUUACGCAAUAAGCCUCUUCGUUGCUAAAUAAAUAGAAGAAUUGGAAGAGUUGCAUUGAGUAAUUAAAUGUAGACUAAUUAUUAACUAGGAAUAAUAAAUAUAUGAAUAAAAAAGUUCAAGGAAUGCGCAUCAGAAAAGAUCUAUAAAAAGGCCAAAUUAUAUGAAUAAUUAAAUUUAAAUUAUUACAAAAUGUUUUGUUGGUUCGUUUUGCCACUAUUUCAUGAAUAUAUAGUACAUUUAAGUCACCUUCUUAGGGGAUAUUUUGUACCCCUAUCUACACACUACUUUUUCAGAAUAUUUUUAUACUAUCAAUCAAAUAAUACAUUUACCUUUUAAUAAUAAAUCAAUAAAUUGUGAAACAUUAAUGUGAAGUUCAUGAAUCUGUCUAGCCCUUAGUGUAGUUUAUCUUUUACUAUAUAAUUAUAUGCACUUAUCCCAUUAAUUUUAAAUUUGUUAUUUCUUUUAAUUUUCAUCCAUUAGAAAACUUUUCAUGUACUCUAUUAAGUUUUAUAUAAUACACAUAACAUUUUUGGAAAAAGUAUAGGAUGCAGUUACAAUUGAUUUGCACAGUAAUUUAGGUAACUGUAUUGUUAUUCAAAUUAUAGCAUAUAAUUGAAAGCUAGAGAUUCUUCUAGCCGAUUGCAGAUUUGAGGCAGCAAUAAGUGAAGCAGUUCUUGUCAAAGAACCAUUUCGUGGUAGUUUACCUCCCAGGUGAUGUUGAUUAAUUAGUUAAAAUUGUUGCGUCUUUAUGUUGUUAAUCUUUAAUUUGUGUUACACUUUAAUAUGUAAUUGCAUGGAUUACUAUAGAAAAAAAGUGUUAUAUAUGAGAUUAUAUACUUUAGAGGUUUAAUCCAAAAUUUGAAGUUAUUUGUCUAAUACGGUGUUGUAAUGCAUGAAACACAUUGAUUUUAAUAGCUUGUCAUGUUGCAUAUGAUAUUAUAUAGUAUAUACAAUUUUACUAAUUAUUUAUGUUAAAUUCAAAGAUGAAAUGACUUAGAAGUUUAAAUCAGACAAAAGGUAAUCUUCCCUUUCAAAAUUCAUAUAACUCAUUGCACAUUUAAUCUAAUAUUUUUUUUAAAAAAAAUUACUUAGCGUGAAAUACACGUGCGUUGCACGUGUUCGAGAACUAGUAUUGGCAUAAACAGCAACUUUAUGAACUUUGUAGGCCAAUUGAAACUGUUUCCAUUCUUGUGAUUAGGGAUGGGAAGGAUACGUGUAUCGCAUCAUCUGAAGCAGUUGUUGGAGAUGUCAUUCGCUUGAAAGCUGGAGAUCAAGUCCCUGCUGAUGGGAUAUACAUAGGUGGCCAAUCCUUACAUAUUGAUGAAUCAACUUUAACAAAGAAAAAUGACCUUGUGGAAGUUAACAAUAGCACCAAUGUGUUCUUGUUAUCGGGUAGCAAUGUCUUGAGGGGUAAUGGUCGAAUGCUUGUUACAGCAGUUGGCAUGGAUACAGCAUUGGCAGAAAUCAUAAGUCCAGCUUGUGUCAAUCAUGAUCAUAAAUCACUUUUACAGAAGAAACUACACAAACUGACCUCGCAUAUAGCAAAGGUUGGUUUGGCAGUCAGUUUCUUGGUUCUUUUAGUACUGUUGGUCCGUUACUUCACAGGGAAUAUGCGAAACAAUGGGAGGAAGUUGUUCAUUGGAGGUAAGACAAGUAUACAUGAUGUAUGGAAAGCCUUUCUUGGGAUUCUAGCAACUCCAGUUGCAAUUGCAUCGGGUGCUAUUCCUGAAGGUUUAACGUUAGCUUGUGCACUAACCAUAGCUUACUCAACCAAGAAGAUGAUUGUUGAUCAAGCACUUGUUAGAAGUCUUUCAGCUUGUGAAGCAAUGGCCUCCGCUACUGUGAUUUGUACGAAUAAGGAAGGAGUACUGACUGAAAACACUCUGCAGGUCAGAGAGUUUUGUCUAUGUGAAGAGUAUUUUGGAAGAGGUACUUUCUCUUCAUUUGCCCCAGAAAUUCUUGAUCUGCUUCAUGAAGGAAUGGCUCUGAACACAACCAAGAUCCCACCGGGAUCUUCAUUUGAACACAUUGAGGAUCAAAUUCAAAAUGCAAUUUUGGGCUGGGGCAUCAAAAGUAUGAAUAUGGAUGUACAACAACUGAAAGAAAGAUGUACACUUGUCCAUGCUGAAAGCUUCAACUCGGAAUACCAAGGGCGUGUUUUGAUAAGGAGGAAUGCUGACAGCAGAGUACAUGUGCACCACAAAGGAACUCCAGAGGCAAUACUGGCCAUGUGUUCACGUUACUACGAGGAGACAGGGGAUGUCAAAGAUAUAAACGAUGAUACUAGAGAAGCAUUGCAGGGAAGAAUUACAAAGAUGAAAAUGGAUGGUUUGUACUGUGUUGGUUUUGCAUAUAAAAGUGUAACAGCAGAACAUCAGAUUGAUCAUGAAGGGCAUUUCCAUCCCAAGCUCAAAGAAGAUGAUUCGAUCUUAUUAGCAUUUGUCGGUCUGAAAGCUCCAUGUAGAGAACAAGCAAGGAAAGCUGUGAUGGACUGCCAAGAUGCUGGAGUGAACAUCAAAAUCAUUACAAAAGAUGAUAUCCACACCGCUCGUGCAUCAGCUAUUGAUUGUGGUAUAAUUGAUCCUCAUGACACAUCCACUGGAGAAGUCAUUGAAGGAACAACAUUCCAAGGAUAUGCUGAAGAUGAAAGAUUGGAGAAAGUUGAUAACAUUCGUGUGAUCGCAAGAGCCUCAACGCUGGACAAGCUUCUAAUGGUACGAUGCUUGCAAAAGAAAGGUCAUAAUGUUGCAGUUACCGGAGACAGAGUGGAAGAUGCAGAAGCUCUUAGAGAAGCCAAUGUGGGGCUUUCAUUGGGUAAUCAUGGAACCGAUGCAGCAAGGAACUGCUCGGAUAUUGUCAUCAUGGAUGAUAACUUUGCUUCCAUAGCUAGGGUUCUAAGUUGGGGCCGAACCACAUACAACAAUGUUCAGAUAUUCACCCAGUACCAACUAACAGCAACUAUCGCUUCUUUGGUGAUAGACUUUGUGACAGCAAUUUCAGCUAGCGAGCCCGUGACCAUCAACAUUGUCACAGUAAUUUCAGCAGGCAAUGUUCCCUAUGCAAUGCUUCAGGUACUUUGGGUAAAGCUGAUGGUGGGGACAUUAGCAGCUGUAGCUCUCACUAUCGACGGGCCUGGAACAAAGCUCAUGCAGCAGCCACCACCUGACAAAAAUGAGCCAUUUAUAACCAAUAUCAUGUGGAAAAAUAUAUUGGGACAAGCAUUGUACCUGAUCUCAGUGUUGCUUACCAUCCAAUUCACAGGUGAAUCAGGAUACCAAUUAAGCGACAAGGAAAAGGACACAAUGAUCUUCAACAUCUUUGUUCUCUGUCAACUAUUCAACAUAUUCUACCUGAGAAACUACGAAGGGGGUAUCCUCAGAGAGCUAAAAACAAAGCGGUUAUUUUGGGGGAUUGUAGGAAUGAUAGUAGUUAUCCAGUUUGCAAUGAUCGAAAUGCUGAAAGAGUUUGCAUGUACUGAGAGAUUGAAUUGGAUGAAGUGGAAAGUGUGUAUUGGGAUAGCUGCUUUAUCAUGGCCAGUUAGUUUGCUCAUAAAAUGUAUACCUGUUCCAAAGACACCUUUGUUUAGUCGUAGGAACAGCCAGAACUCUAGUUACUCAAGAUUUAGAUCAAGUGUUUGGUUAUAGCAAGUUUGCCUUCUCAAUUCCUACCAUAUUUGUUUGUUCAUUCUAUAACACUUCCAUUUGUUUGUACUUUUAUAACAUUUAUUGUUUUAAAUUUAAUAUGUUAUACAUAAUUAUACUAAAGGAAAAAUAAAGUAAUACUUUUAUUUGGUACAAAAAAAAAUCAUUAAAACUUUGUAAGAAUUAAGUGAGUUGAGUUACGACACACAUUUUAGCCCAUUGCAAAUGCCAGUCUAAAGCUUCAAAAAUCUUUGAACAUAUUAUCAGCUCAGGUAUAUAUGUUGACAAUCAUGAACAAAGUACACUAUUAUUAAUAAUGGAAUGUAACAUAAAUCAAUUAAUCAAACAGAUACUAUUAGAACUAACUAGCUUAUGACAAAAACAUACUGAACACCUAAAUCUACUCAUUUAAACAAGGCUUUCAAGUAAUUCAACCUUAGAUAACUAAAUAUUGGUCUCUCUGGAACAGUUAUGCACUUGACAAGCCAACCAAUUGGCCAAGAUGCAGCUGCAAAUCCAAUGCAGAUACCCCAUUGCCCCCAAUUCAGCCUCUCUGUAUUUGCAAACUUCUUCAGAAACUCCACCAUCACCACUUGGAGAACCAAUGUUAUUCCGAUGAUCGCCAUGAACAACUUGUUCUUGUGUAUUCCCUUAAAGACAUUCUUCUUCUCCAGGUUUCGCGCGUUGAAUUCAUUGAACACUUGGCAAAGAACAAACGUGUUGAAAAUCAAUGUAUCGUUUACCUUCUUGUUGACACCGAAGAUUGACUCUCCUUUGAAUUGUAAUGUCAAUAAAACGGCAAUCUGAUAUAAGGCCUGAGCCAUUAGAUUCCUCCACAUAACAUUGGUGAUAAGUGGUGCAGUCCAACCAACUGGUUUCUUCUUCAUGAGUUCCUUGGUUGGCUUCUCUGUCGCGAGUGCUAAUGCCCCUAAUGUGUCCAUGAACAAAUUUACCCAUAGCAAUUGUACUGCUGUGAGUGGAACCUCACCAGAUGAAAUAGCUGCUACAAAAUUGAUCACGAGCACAGCCACAUUUACUGUGAGCUGAAAUUGGAUGAAUUUCUGGAUGUUGUUAUAGACACACCUUCCCCAUUUCAAAACUGUGGCAACUGAAGCAAAGUUAUCAUCCAAGAUGACAAUAUCAGAACUCUCUUUAGCCACUUCAGUGCCAUGAAUCCCCAUAGAAAGUCCUAUAUCUGCUUCCUUUAAAGCUGGGGCAUCGUUCAUUCCAUCACCUGUGACCGCGACCACAUGACCUUUCUUUCUCAAGCACUGCACCAUUAGAAGUUUGUCAAAAGGGGAUGAUCUUGCCAUCACGCAUAUCUUCUCCACUCUCUCCAUCCGUACUUCAUCUGUUAGGUUGCGAAAUUCUUCACCUUCUAUGACCUGCUCCUUCAUCUACUUCCGGAUUAGGAUGGAGAAUCCCACAUUCUGUUGCUAUGGCUUUUGCAGUGAACACAUUGUCACCAGUAAUCAUCUUGAUGUUCACACCAGCAUUUUGGCAAGCUUCCACAGCUUUCUUCACGCCAGGUCGACAUGGAUCUUUUAGGCCAACAAUGCCCAAAAGAAUGAUAGAGUUGUCUGGAACAUUUCCAUGAAUAUGCUCAUGAUCCUCCUGCUCAGCUUUUAUCACUUGCUUGUGAGCAAAUGCGAUACAUCGAAGGCUACUGGCAGCCAUUCCUUCAAUUAUCCUAUCACAUUCUUCCUUGUCUGAUUGGUCGAGAGGUUUUACAUUCCCUUCUAGAUCAUAGUAGUGGGAGCACAUUCUUGAAAUCAUUUCAGCUGCACCUUUCCAAUGUGCAUGAAUUGUGCCAUCUGUAAUGUUCUUGAUCAGGACACCGCUCUCCUUUUUCUCUGAAUUGAAAGCUUCCAUAUGUAGAAUGUUGAAAUUUCUUUUCAUUUGAUCCAUAUCCAUGUUCAGUUCCGUAACAGCCCACAAAAGAAUAGCUUUUUCAGUAGGGCUGCCUGAGAACUCGAAGCUGGAACAUGAAUCAGUGGACUUGAAAACACUACCUGUAGUGUUUAAUCCAACACCUUGAUGUAAUAAUUCAAGAACUUUGACUGAAAUUGUUGUAUGACUUUCCGCUUUCACGUGCUGUUUGCCUAAGAAAAACUUUGUCACGGUCAUCUUAUUUAAUGUAAGAGUACCUGUUUUGUCUGUACAGAUGGUGGUGGCAGAGGCCAUAGUCUCACAUGCGGAGAGCUUCAUCACCAUUGCCUGAUCAGCCAUCAUUCUCUUCAUGGAAUAAGCCAGAGUAAGUGUAGCAGCUAAAGGCAAGCCUUCAGGAAUCGCGACAACAACAAUGGUAACAGCGGCAGCAACAAUUCCCACCACAGCAUUGAUCACAUCAUCGGAUGAUGUCUUGCUCCCGUUGAAUUCUUUUUUACCAUUCUCAUCUUUUGUGGUGCCAGUAAAGUAUCUAACCAAUAGGACAACAAGAACUAAGAAAGCAACUAGCAACCCAACUUUACCAAUCGAUGUAGUAAGCUUGUUGAGUCGUUCUUGGAGAGGGGUUUGCUCAUUAGAAUUACUGCUGAUUUGGCUCAUCAUUUCACCCCAGGUGGUGUUCAUUCCAACCGAUAUCACAAGCAUCAUGCCAUAGCCAUCGACAACCUUCGUGCCAGAAAUCAAGAAUGGAUUUUGGCUGAUAUUAAUCUCGACAUGAUCACUUUCACCUGUCAUGCUAGAUUCAUCCACUUGUAAAGAAUGGCCUUCUACCAAAAUCCCAUCAGCAGGGACUUGAUCUCCAAUCUUCAAGCAAAUGACAUCUCCAACAACAAUUUCAAAUAUCGAUAUCUGUUGGCGCCUCCCCUUUCUAACAGCUUCCACUGGAAUAUUCUUGCUCACUUUGGAAAGCUUAUCAAACUGUCUGUUUUGUCUAAAAUUACUAAUAGACGAAACAGCGCUGACAAGAAACACAGCGACAUAAAUACUCCCUCCAUCGUACCAUCCUUCUUUCAGUCCAUGCUCCUUAAUUCCAAAUCCAAGAGACAGAGCAGCACAGAGCAAAAGUAUAAUGAUGGUAGGAUCCUUGAAUGAUUCCCAAACAAACACGAAGAAACUCUUAGUAGGUGCCUUACGAUACGUGUUGCUUCCAAAAGCCUCAUGUCUACGUGCAACGUCUUCUGAAUCUCCGCUUACACCAUUAGUUGUAUCACUUUUGAGAGAAGCAGCAACACCUUGUACACCUCCAAUGUUAGCAAGUUCGUCAAAGUUUUUAUCUUUGACAAGCUUCGCUAGACUUGACUGAUCAACACCUUGUACACCUCCAGUUGUGAUUUUGUUCAUGAAUAGGUAAUGCAAGUUUUCUUCAAACAUGUUUGAUUGAAAAUGUGUGUAAUAACAAUGAUGAACAAUAAAAGGAUAAAAAUAUCAAUACUUUGUGAUUGUGUUUUUGAGUGAAGUAGUAAUAAUCCCCCGGAAGUUAAUCAUAUUAUAUAAGUACUAAUACACCGCGUAAUCAAGUUGAUGAAGUUUAGUGGGGUGCAGUCACAUGGAUAUUUCCCUAAACCGCCUUUGGGUCUCCUUUGAAAAAUGCAUAAUCUAUGGAGGGUCCUCCCCUAUUUUCUUGCGGCCCACGAUCUAAUUAAGUUGGGCUUCUUGUACAAGUGACCAAAUUGUUUAAUAAAGAGAAAAUUUUAGAAAUAACAAAUAUAAUAAGACCCGAUACAUCAAGUUUUCGUCAUAUGCGAAAUUCGGAGAAGGACUAGACUAUUAAGACAUAAAUGCCUUACGUAUAGGCUAAGUUAUUAUAAAUUAAUUAGUAUAUAUAUUUUAACUUAACUGUUAAGUAUACAUAUCAUUAUGUAGCUAGGUUUCUUUUCGUUUACAAUUUGGUCAUGUCGACAAUAUGGUCCAUGUGUGAAGUAUUUAAGUAUUUGUUUCACAAAAUAUAAUUAAUGCCAUUACCUAGUUUUGAUAUAUGUUAAUUUCAUCGACAAUGUUUAGGAGCACUUUAUAAAUCAAGAAAAAAAAUAGAAAUAAGAUGCAAUUGAUAAUUAUAUCAUGUCUUCCUAUAAUAAAUUAAGUAUAAUAAGGUAGCACAAGAAAAUCAAACAAAAUUUAGGAAUGAGAAAGGGUUCCAAAAAGAAAAUACUUAGACUUUGCAUAUAUCCACUCUCUUAAAAUCUUAGUUGUAAAAUCACGAUCGUUCAAGAAAAAAAACUAAGAAGAGACAAAUGCCUUAUUUGUUUGUAUAUUUAAAAUAAAGAUUUGAACCUUAAUUAUUCAAGUUUCAGUUAUUAAGUUUGUCUAUUUUAUUUUUUUUAAUAUUAAUUAUUCAAAUCUUAAUAUUCAAGUGUUUCUUUUUCUGUGUUUUGCAAUCACAAUUAGAGUUUUAUAGAGAAACUAAAUAGGCUAAAAAUAUUGGAGCUCGAGUACUCCAACAAGGUAGAAACUAGGGUUGCAUAUUUUUCCAAUUUUCCAUUUUCGGUUAUGAUUCGUAGACAUGCUAAAUUAUUUUAGAAUCAUUAAGAUAUUGCUUGUCGAUUAUUGGUGAUUGAUCGUUACUGAUUUGGUUAUCAGUUUAACAGUUACCAUUUGACACACAAUAAUAAUAAUUGAAAAUCAUUCAGAGUUGACAGAUUGCAUCUUGUUCAAAAGUAAACACCGACACUUUAUAGGAUAAUCGAAAGUUUGAGACAAUAAAAAAUAAAAGUAUGCAACUAAACUCUGAGUCAAGUAUUUAUAUAUAUAUACAUAUAAAUAUAAUUAUAAGUUAACUAGUCUAUACUACCUUAAAAGCAUGAACUCCUAAGCUGAAUGUUGAAUUACUAUAAUACCCCCAAUUAAAAAUACUCAAUUUAUUUUAUUUAUUAAUUUAAUUAUUUAUAUUAUAUUAAAAGUAGAUACCCUUUCAUAUUAAAGGGUUGUGAUUUUCUCAAAGAGAUGUGACUUUUCCAAAGGGUUGCGACUUUUUUGACGGGUCUUGACAUUUUUGAUGAGUUGUGAUUUUUUCGAAGGGUUGUGAUAUUUUCAAAGGGUUGUGGCUUUUCCGAUGAGUUGUGACUUUUGCAAAAGGUUGUGAUUUUUCCGAUGAGCAGUGAUUUUUUCAAAAGGUUGUAACUUUUUUGAUAAGGAACAAUUAGCACCUAUUCAUACUACUAUUUGUUAGCUAUAAAUAGAGGGUUUCCUCUCACUUUAAAACUACGAUUUUUUAAAAAGUUUUCUACUCUUCUUCUUCUUAAAAAAUCUCAGGUUAUUUGCAACAGUUGAUUAAGUUCAAAAUUCAACGAAAUUCGAGGUACCACAUAAGAAAGAGUUGGUGAACAAAUUGUAGCAAAUCAUUCAUAAAUUCACACUCGUAUUUUUUUCUUACGAUUUCCAUGAGUUAACAGUGACGAAAAAGUUGUGGGAAAGACAAUAAUAAUAAACAAAUAUGAAAAAAAAUCACAUGAUUUGGGUAAGAUAUUUCUUCUUUGGUUUUUUAUUUUUUAUUUUUUUACUCUCAAAAUGAAGCAGUUUCUUUCUGAUUUUACUAAAAUCAUGGGCAUCAACGCAGUCCAUUGAAUCAUUAGUUUGAUGUUAAAUCCACUAUUUCAAAUAUAAAUUUUCACUUUUACUUAAUAUGAUAAUAUAGACAUGGUAAUAAUUAAUUUUAAUAGAUAUGUAAGUAAAAUUGAACAAAGAAAGUAAAGUGUUAGUGACAAGAGAUUUUAAUCAAAUGGAACNNNNNNNNNNNNNNNNNNNNNNNNNNNNNNNNNNNNNNNNNNNNNNNNNNNNNNNNNNNNNNNNNNNNNNNNNNNNNNNNNNNNNNNNNNNNNNNNNNNNNNNNNNNNNNNNNNNNNNNNNNNNNNNNNNNNNNNNNNNNNNNNNNNNNNNNNNNNNNNNNNNNNNNNNNNNNNNNNNNNNNNNNNNNNNNNNNNNNNNNNNNNNNNNNNNNNNNNNNNNNNNNNNNNNNNNNNNNNNNNNNNNNNNNNNNNNNNNNNNNNNNNNNNNNNNNNNNNNNNNNNNNNNNNNNNNNNNNNNNNNNNNNNNNNNNNNNNNNNNNNNNNNNNNNNNNNNNNNNNNNNNNNNNNNNNNNNNNNNNNNNNNNNNNNNNNNNNNNNNNNNNNNNNNNNNNNNNNNNNNNNNNNNNNNNNNNNNNNNNNNNNNNNNNNNNNNNNNNNNNNNNNNNNNNNNNNNNNNNNNNNNNNNNNNNNNNNNNNNNNNNNNNNNNNNNNNNNNNNNNNNNNNNNNNNNNNNNNNAUAUAUAUAUAUAUAUAUAUAUAUCUAAAACAAAGAAUUGGUCAAGCUAAGUAAUUGACAUCCACUCAAACCACUACCUACUUUAGGUAUAUAAGUUAUGGGCCCUAGGGCUGAUUAAAUUUAUUCUAAGACAUUUUUGCUAAAGUAAUCAAUCAUAUGUGCUACUCUUUUCUACGAAUGAAAGCGACACCAUUAUCUUUUUAUUUUUGUACAUUUAAUAACAUCAUAUUAUAGUAAUACAAAAUAAUGUCAUGAUAUAUUUUAAAUUAUAAACUUUAAAAGUUUUUUUUUCCCCAUAAGAUUCUUAUUGAAUCAAACAACAAAAUUUGUACUUAAAUGGUGUACAUCAUUUGUGUUCAUAACCUCAAGAGGAAAGACUAUUGGUGACAUUUUUUGUAUUGAUAUUUAAAAAAAAAAAUUUGUUGGUUAGAUUUGUUUACAAAAUUGAGUGAAGCAAUAAUAAUACUACUAAAGAAAUGUCACUUUCUCCCCAUAUAUAAACUUUGAAAUGUAUUUUGAAAUGUUUCAAUAAUAUCUGGUCAUUUUGAUCUCAAAAUACAAGUAACUCUAUGGCAAUCAAUAUUAAUCAUUUGAAAGCACUUGUCCUAUGUUCUUUAAGUUAUAAUUAUUUACUAAAAAACAUUAAUUUAGUAAUAUUAAUUCUAUUUUACAAAAUCAUAUACUAUAUAUAUACGAUACACACGUGCAACGCACGUGCUGUGAAACUAGUUAAGAAAAAAGCACCAAAAUAUUAAAAACCGAUAACCCAUAGUAAAACUAAUCAAAACCAUUAUCGAAAUAAAUCAAUAAAUUCUGGUUAACAUUUCAAUUCAGAUACUAGAAACAAUGUCUUUGCAAUAUAUCAUAGUGGCGCGAAAAGUAAUUGGAAAGGAAGGCUCUAAUUCUGCUAUCAGUGUCACAUGAUUUCAUUCAUCUUUCAACUUUCCAAUCCCCAAAUUGAUGCGUGACUGAGUAGGUCAUAUUAGGAAGAGAGAUACAAAAUCACCGGUACCGGAAAGUACUUCUGACUGAAAAUUCUCAGGCAUUGCAUCGGCCAUCGGCCAUCGGCCAUCGGCGAUCAGUCUAUAUUGCAUAAACUGAAAGAGGUAACAAACUGACAUCUCUUCUCAUCCCUUGGGAUCCACAUUACACACAUUUUCCACUUCUGAACCCUGCUGUGAUCAACCUGAAAACAAGUUUUAUUGCAUUAUGAAUUCUAUGAUGAUUGACAAGGAUUGAAUUAGGAAAAUGGACUUUGUCUACGUAGAGAAUAGCAGAAGAAAAGUAUAAUUGGGGAAACGUUCGGCCAGUUCAAUAUCGUUAAGGAAGAUUUUGGAUAAGAGAAUGCCUAAUGUCAUCUCUAUUUUUACUUGUCUAGAUGCUUCUAGAAAUUAUUGUAGAUGUAAAAAUCUGGAUAACUUCAUCAUCUAGCUAUGAAUCUAGAACUUUUAGAUCUAGCUUUAAGAUUAGAUCAUUCUAGAAGCUUUCAUAAAAAAUCUAAGUUUUUUUUGUAGUUCCAAAAAAUUAACUUUAAUUUUUUCAGUUUAUUUGUUGAAUAUCUUUAGUCUUUACUACUGAGAGGUGGAGAAAUUUGGAUAUGCAAAGGGAGAAACUCUGGACUUGACACUUUUAGAUAUGUUCAACUAUUAAGGUGAUUCCAUUGCACUUUUAAGUUUUAAAAAAUGUGAGUUCAGAAUUUGAUAUUUUAGCAAUUUUUAACUGUAAAUCUAUGCUCUGUAACUGUAGUAGAAGAAUUCUGUACAACUCUUUAUUUAGAAACAUACCAUAGAGAAAUACAAGUAGUGAGUAAUAAAUGAAUGCAACAUAAAUCAACCAUUUCACAACAAACUAAUACAAUUACAACAAACUAGCUUAUGGACCAAAAAAAAAUGAACAUCUAUAUUUACUCAAUUUUAACCUGAGAUAACUGAAGAUUGGUCUCUCUGGGACAGCUAUGCACUUGACAAGCCAACCAAUUGGCCAAGAUGCAGCUGCAAAUCCAAUGCAGAUUCCCCAUUGCCCCCAAUUCAGCCUCUCUGUAAUUGCGAACUUCUUUAGGAACUCCACCAUCACCACUUGGAGAACCAAUGUUAUUCCGAUGAUUGCCAUGAACAACUUGUUCUUGUGUAUUCCCUUAAAGACAUUCUUCUUCUCCAGGUUUCGCGCGUUGAAUUCAUUGAACACUUGGCAAAGAACAAAUGUGUUGAAGAUCAAUGUAUCGUUUACCCUCUUGCUGACACCAAAGAUUGAUUCUCCUCUGAAUUGUAAGGUCAAUAAAACAGCAAUCUGAUACAAGGCCUGAGCCAUUAGAUUUCUCCACAUAAUGUUGGUGAUAAGCGGUGCAGUCCUACCGACUGGUUUCUUAUUCAUGAGUUCCUCGGUUGGCUUCUCUGUCGCAAGUGCUAA